rnacentral:lncRNA from 1 species
CCCCCAACGGCUUGAACUGUAUUUUGGUUUUCGAUCUGAUCGAAAACGGCAAACGAAUAAGGCAGUACACCAUUUCUUCGGGUCGAGGCCAGCGUCAGCUGGCAGGAAAAGGUUCAGUUGACGUAGACACGACGAGAUGGAACGCGGAGAAACAGGGCACUCGCUGGAACGGGUCUACCCCGGUGCCUCCGCUGCGCGUGGGACCGCGGCUACCCACUUUUUGUCUUGGACUCUCUCACCCACCUCGAUUUUCGACUCGGUGCAAUUUGUCCGAGGAGCGCGACCGGACGAGUCCGAGUCCCAACCGUGCCAACCGUGCCUUUUGCCGAGCUUUGGCACCGGCGGGACGGACUGCGUGCCGGGACGGUUACUGAAAAAAGAAGCCUCCGAAAACGCCGUCAAUCCAGGGACAAUUUGCGUGACAGAUGCACCGAAAGGUACGAAAUCGUACACGCGGCUGCAGAGAUGCUUCACAGCAUGCUGCGUCUCGUGCUUUUGAGGGUGCUGCUGCGGGUGAUAGUCAACAGAACAAGCAGUUCGAUCAGCAUUCGUUUGUUGACUCUAACAUCGGAGAUACGGGCAACGUUCCCUCGAUCGUCCUAAACCAACUGCUGUCUACAAUGGUGCAAUUUCAGAGCCACCGUGACGUUUCAAAAUAUGGACGAUUGUCGCUGGCUCCCAAGGGAAACGCUGCAGUGGGUUGUCUCCUCUUCAGAUAGCACCACGGCAAUGGAAGGAAAUUUCAUUUCUCGACCUGACUAUAUUAACACCAUAGGCCCACGAAAUUCUCUUUUCGGGACGCCAAAGGAGUCUGCUUCUAAGCCGAGCUGGUUGGUUUACCCAGGACUGUUCCGCGGGCAGAAAGCCAAAACGGCCACGUCAACAAUUUUGAAUCAUGGACCCCUGAUCACGAGCACGACCGUGUCAGGUUGAAAUGAAGUUCGCUUUCUUUGGUUGCCAUAGUUCGUUAUGUCAAUUCCCUUAUCCCCUGAAGAACGGAGACGGUUUUGGGGCAACACUGUAUCUACACACGGGUUCAGGCGUUCUAGAUGGAGCCGCCUUGUGCAGAGAGUCCCGAAAUGGUAUCCUGAAGAAUAAAAUAUGAUGACAGGAGAGGCAGGUCCCGCGCUAUGAAUCAUCCAACCUCUAUAGCCGUAAGUAGGUGAGAAUCAGUUGUUUGUCCUUUGAGUUCCCUCAGUUUCGUGAUAUACUCCUCAGUGAGGUUAGCCUCUCUUGCGGACGCGUCCGGGGUCUUUGGUUGAGACGCAGCCGAGUAGGGCAUCUGGUAGUCUCUCGAAGGAAGGUAAAUUGUGCCGUUUGCUUCGAGGACCUCCCCUGAAUAGUUUGUGCCGGAAGAUCCAAUGGGACCAGUUCCGUUUAGUGGACCCGCCCCGCCAAUAAAAUCUAGAAGGGUUUCAAGCUUGGGUGUCACUGUGAGAGCGUAGACUGGAAAGUAAGCCUGAGGAAGCAGUGAAAUCACUACGUAAGCUAAGUAUAGGAGUGCGCCGACCUUGCAUGCGUGUUCCCACGCAUUUUUCAUGUCCUGGUUGUACCGGUCGAAGGUCGUUCGGGGGUCACAGGGCCCGUCGUACGUUUCUGGAGCCUCGCAGAUUCCCGUUUCCUUGGAUUCGAGAUUCCAGCCAGAGGGGCACGGAGCGCUAUAGUUUCGCCGGACACCGUCCUUGCGAGGCCACUUGACGCCACAGCGAAGGCUCUAAACCAUGGCAGCCGCUAUAUAUUUGCUUCCAACUGUGGAGUACAGAAUCGCAUGGCGUACAUAACUGUAUUUAUGGUCAUCUGAGAAACCUUCAAACGACUGCAUCUUCUGACAAGGGCCGUCAUAGUGCUUGGGUGCGUGGCACUCAAGGUGCUGAUGACAAAAGAACAGGAAUCAUUAAGUUUUGGGGCAACGGAGAUGCAUCCAACUCUUACUUGUUCAGACAGCCGGGUCCAGCCCAGUGGACACGGGCGACUAAAGUCGUACCCAGUCUUCGUGUCUGCUGGCCAAGACACUUUGCAUGUGCUGGCGAACGUUUCCUUGUUCUCUCGCUUCAUUGUUCCUGCACACGUGGACAGACGAGAUUUUCCUUUUUCUCUCUGGUACUCAAAUCCUCUAACCAACUUCGUG